GUCCACGCCCUAAACGAUGUCAACUAGGUGUUGGGAGCGCAAGUUCUCAGUACCGCAGCUAACGCGUGAAGUUGACCGCCUGGGGAGUACGGUCGCAAGAUUAAAACUCAAAGGAAUUGACGGGGACCCGCACAAGCGGUGGAUGAUGUGGAUUAAUUCGAUGCAACGCGAACAACCUUACCUACCCUUGACAUGUCUGGGACCCUGCUGAAAGGCGGGGGUGCCCGAAAGGGAACCGAACACAGGUGCUGCAUGGCUGUCGU
rnacentral:rRNA from 1 species